rnacentral:lncRNA from 1 species
AAGGUUGUACGGAGGCGGUGUGUGGAGGCCACUGUUGCGGUGGCUGGAGGGCAAUGAUGCUUGGGUUUUUUGAAAUUGUUUUGGGUUGUAUUAGGCUGAGUUGGUUUGUUGGGCUUAGAACCGGGUCUAGGGAAGGUUUUGGGCUAGGUUGAUUUGGGCUGAUGUAAUCGGAUUGUUUAUUUGCAAAUGGACUUUUAAUAUUUUUGUUUUUAUUAUUUAUAUUGGGCCGGGCAAU